rnacentral:rRNA from 1 species
AGUGAACGCUGGCGGUAGGCCUAACACAUGCAAGUCGAACGGCAGCACAGUAAGAGCUUGCUCUUACGGGUGGCGAGUGGCGGACGGGUGAGGAAUACAUCGGAAUCUACUUUUUCGAGGGGGACAAAGUAGGGAAAAUUACGCUAAUCCCGCAUACGACCUACGGGUGAAAGCAGGGGAUCUUCGGACCUUGCGCGAUUGAAUGAGCCGAUGUCGGAUUAGCUAGUUGGCGGGGUAAAGGCCCACCAAGGCGACGCUCCGUAGCUGGUCUGAGAGGAUGAUCAGCCACACUGGAACUGAGACACGGUCCAGACUCCUACGGGAGGCAGCAGUGGGGAAUAUUGGACAAUGGGCGCAAGCCUGAUCCAGCCAUACCGCGUGGGUGAAGAAGGCCUUCGGGUUGUAAAGCCCUUUUGUUGGGAAAGAAAAGCAGCAGGUUAAUACCCCGCUGUUCUGACGGUACCCAAAGAAUAAGCACCGGGUAACUUCGUG